AGCGAACGCUGGCGGCAGGCCUAACACAUGCAAGUCGAACGGGCUCUUCGGAGCUAGUGGCGGACGGGUGAGUAACACGUGGGAACGUGCCUUUAGGUUCGGAAUAAGCCCGGGAAACUGGGUCUAAUACCGAAUGUGCCCUUCGGGGGAAAGAUGUAUCGCCUUUAGAGCGUCACGCGUCUGAUUAGCUUGUUGGUGGGGUAAAGGCUCACCAAGGCGACGAUCAGUAGCUGGUCUGAGAGGAUGACCAGCCACAUUGGGCCUGAGACACGGCCCAAACUCCUACGGGAGGCAGCAGUGGGGAAUCUUGCGCAAUGGGCGAAAGCCUGACGCAGCCAUGCCGCGUGGAUGAUGAAGGUCUUAGGAUUGUAAAAACCUUUCACCGGUGAAGAUAAUGACUGUAGCCGGAGAAGAAGCCCCGGCUAACUUCGUGCCAGCAGCCGCAGUAACAC
rnacentral:rRNA from 1 species